GUGCCAGCAGCCGCGGUAAUACGUAGGGUGCAAGCGUUAAUCGGAAUUACUGGGCGUAAAGCGUGCGCAGGCGGUUAUGUAAGACAGAUGUGAAAUGCCCGGGCUCAACCUGGGAACUGCAUUUGUGACUGCAUGGCUAGAGUGUGUCAGAGGGGGGUAGAAUUCCACGUGUAGCAGUGAAAUGCGUAGAUAUGUGGAGGAAUACCGAUGGCGAAGGCAGCCCCCUGGGAUGCCACUGACGCUCAUGCACGAAAGCGUGGGGAGCAAACAGGAUUAGAUACCCCGGUAGUCC
rnacentral:rRNA from 1 species